CCAUGCUUAGUUUAAUUUUUAUUCACCAAGGUUACAAAGAUAAAAAAAUAAAAAAAUAAAUAUACCUCGAGGGCUUCUUGCACCCUCCUGAACUGUGUCUCGCUCGAGUCACCCCCGACCUGGGCCAUGCUCGACUUAGCACGGACCGUAUCUGGUCUCAUUGUUCUGAAUUUACCUUCUUAGGGGUUUCUUACCCCUCAAUUUAUACUGAGAUUUGAGCGAGUUUCACCUCAAAGCGCGCAUCGCUAGGCACGAUCAGUCCCGAGCGCUCGCUUAUUUUUCCUUGAACCGAGUCCCGUUCGAGCCACCCUCAACUCGGGCCGCGCUCGACUUAGCACAGACUAUGCAUGGUCUCAUUUUUUCUGAAUUUACCUUCUUAGGCGUUGCUUACCCCUCCAUCUAUACGAUGCUUUGAGCAAGUUUCACCUCGAAGCACGCAUCGCUAGGCACGAUUAGUGCCGUGUGCUCACUUAUUGCCUUGCUUGUUUUGCGUGCAUUGUGUGCUUGAAUUUAUUUUUUAUUGUGAGCUUUUUUACACACUCCAACACACACCGAACUGGGAAUGCCCGGCAAACCAACAAAAAAAUAUUUCGAAAACCCCCAAAAUCUCCGUUAACGACAUGAGGGGAACUUAGCAUUGAGAGCCGAUGUGAUGACCUAAACUUUUCCCUACUGAGGAUGAGAGGCCAGUGCCAGUUGGAGUUGUGUGAGAGGCCAGCAUCGGCUGGACUUGUAUGAGAGGCUAGCACCGAUUGGAGCUGUGUGAGAGGCUAGCGCCAGUUGGAGUUGUGUUAGAGGACAGUGUCUGUGGUAUACCGCCGUGCGUGAGUGGUUGAGUGCAUGGUAGUCUAGGGAGCUCUCCCUCUCUCAUAAUCAUUUUGUUUCCCAUGCUUGGUGUACCCAUAAUCAUUAUGUCUUCAUGCUUGUUCUCUCUUUCUCCUCAUGCAUGUCAGUUAGCUUUGCAUGAAUGACACUUGUCAUUUGCUGCCCUUUUCUCUUUUAUAAAUAGAGCCUUUCUCAGCCCUUCUCAAGAGCUUUGGCCCCCUCUCUCUCCCAUGUUUUUCUCUCUCUUUCUCUCUCUCUAUAAAAUACUUAGAGUCUCAUGUUAGGGAGCUUGGAGAAGUGGUUGUGUGAAAACGUUUUGGAGCUAGUUUAGAGCUUAAGAUUGACUGCUGCAGGUCGAGAACGGUGGGAGGUGAUCGUGUUUGGUGGACGGAAAGCCCGCGCUCGAUGAGUGGAUCUCUGUUCUUGUGUAGGUGUUUGUUAGUCGUCGGUCUUGCAGUUGUUGUUAUUGAAGUUAUGUAGUUUGAUGGCAGGCCAGCAGUACCUUUGACGAUUGUAAUAUUCUGGAUAUUGUAGUUGUGACCUUGGAGACUGUUUAUGGAUAUGAAUGGUUCUAAUUUA